UUAUAAGUACCGCACCGCAUGCUUUACCGCCAUUAAUUUCGUUGGAUCUUUCCGAGAAUGUUGUAUAGGUAUUGCGUUAGGUAACAGUUAGCAUAUAACACGGAUUAAAAUAUCUUGUUUUUCAAAGGUUUAAGUGAUUGCAUAGACAUGUGACUACAGCUUAGUAAUUGUUAAAUUUAUAAAGGAAUCGAUCAAUCACGUCAGCUCCUUCAAGGCAUCCAUUUUGUUUUGUGUCGUUAAGAUACUGCUUUGCUUGUGUGCUGUGACCCUAUUUAAUGAUAAUGUUGUAAUAAUUAUGUCAUUUUCUAGGGCAGUGAUACAAAUUUUGUGAUCUCUGAUUUUGAUGUUCAAAUUACUUUGCCCAUGCCCUAGAUAAUUCCUAUGGACUGGAUUCCAAGUAAAGAUGUUCUUAAACCAUCAUAAUUAUGUUAAGCUCUAUCAUUGUAUUAUGAAAACCUCUCUGUUUAAUUGUUUUUUUUAACCUACUUCCAUGCUUACUUUGUUUUAGUAGGAAAGUAUUCUGAACAUCUCUGGAAUCUUGUUUCUGUGAUUGGUUCCAUAGUUGUGUUGAAUCAGACACAAUUUUUAUCAUAGUUAUGGUCCAUAUAGGUGCCAAUCAGUGAGUGUAAGCAAAUAAUUUAAGAGUUAUAUUCAGUAUGACUAAUUUUGACAGUUACUGCCAUAAAAAUGUAUUUAAUAAGCAGUUUCCAAUUUCUAAAUAUAGCUUUAUGAGCGAGGAAUCUUGUGAGAAUCACUGAUCAUUGAGCCCCUGGGCUGGUCUGGGUUUGCCUGCUGUUCCUUUCCUGCGUGCCAUCAUUGAGUGGUUUACUUGUGGAUGACAAAAGUGAGAUAAUUUCAUGAAUGUUAGGUAUGUCUGAUAGUUAAAAUUUUCUACCAUUUGUUGUAAUGUGUUUUGAAAUGUCAAUUCCAUUGUGAGGUAAAGCAGCUUUAAUGGUCUGUUAUAUGGCUUUGAAUGGUGGAGUAGUGUUGCGUGCAGCUGGCUUCCGUUGGUAUGUAUUUUGCAGUUCAUCUUUAUUUUUCAGGUUCACUAUCAUAAUCACAAGGAUGCAUUGAAGCAAGUAAUGUUCUUCAAUUAAACUCAAUGGUUCAUUUGUAACUGAAUAUUUUAUUUAACAGAAGCCCUUUUUAAGAAUCUUACAGAAUUUGUCAUCACCCGCCUGUUCAGCUGUAAUUUGAUUUGCAAUCGGUAUGACCUGUCGAAAGUUAUUUGGCAAUGUGCCCUGUGAGGUAUCUUUAGUUGGUGUUUUGCACAACAUCCAAGUCGCUCCCCUGCCUAAGAAGACAACUUAGUCCAUCAAGGAUUAUUUCUCUUGAGCGGUUACAUUGAAUGCUAGGGAAGGCUUUAUGCUGGCUGUUGGUGUACUGGUGUUGGUGUGUGGUUGUAUGACUGGCUAUACAACCAGUGCGUUAUUUCUCUCGUCCAGCUCCGUACAUCGUGUAUCUGGAACAGAAAUUAAUCAAAGUUUACGAGGAUACAAAUGCUUUGUUCGCCGCGCCGAAGAAUGGAACAUUGACGUUCAAUGAAAAUAAACGACAUUUGGAUGUGAUCGUCAAUGUGUAGGAUUCUAAGGACGUUUUAUUGAAAUUUUCUCGCACAGUUAAGGACUAUUUCAUACGUUCAUCAUAUUUGCCGCUGUAAUGAAAGGUUAUUGAUUGCAGAAUUGCAAUAAAAAACCAAUAACCUUCCAAAUAAAAUAGUGGAAGUCGAUAAUUGGAUGUUUUUGACCAUUAUUCUUUAUCUUCACCAAAAUGUACGUUAAAAUAAAAAAAAAACCUGGUCUUGCUGUAAACAUGGAUAUCACUUACUAAAUUGUAGACAAAAUGCUUGUUGCCGUCUUAACUGUUUCAGGAAUUCUUAGGGUUUUGUAAGACCUGACGGCGAAAUCAUCCGCGACAACGGAGUGGGAAUGAUUUAGGCAAACGAUAUCCGCAGUCCGUACUCGUUAUAGGACACAUCAUUGACCAGAUUUAGAUGGGAGACAUUAAGAACAGUGGAUUCAGUAAAGACUUUUGAAAUUGAAAUAUUAAUCAGCUUUGUCGUCUCGUGAAAAUCUCUUAAACUCGUCUUUUAAGAAAAGUUCACGUGACGACUGGUUGACCAGUCCCUAAAUACACAUGCACACUUGUUGGAAAUAAUGGGUGCAGUUGUUUUUCGUCGAAUAAAUUAUACAUUGUUACUGUGCAGCUAGGUGAGUUGUUGUUGCUCUUCCUUGUAAAUCUACCCCUUUUUGCUCAAUUGUUAAUCUAAUUCUAUCUGCCAUUUCUUGAAAUUAAACAUUCAGAAGUUGUAGUAUACAUUCUUAAAUUGUUAAGAUCAAUUCAGAGUGGUAUCAUAAAGUAUGGCUGUAGGAAAUGGUACGUAGGCUUCUAAAAGUGAAGAAAAGCUAUGACGUCUUUGGUAGGCGGAAAAGGUACGGCUUUAAGAAUAGAAUCUUUCGUUUGCUUUUCCCAAUGAAUCUGUGCCUGGAACUGGCAGUGGAAGAUGGCGUUUAGCUGUGUCACAAAAUCUUUAUUCUUGAAACCCAGAGGUGUUCUUCACUUUCCAGGGGGACUGAUUGAUGAUAAUUGUUGGUUAAACUAUGAAGAAUACCAAUACAUGGAUAAGUGGAGGGUUAUAAAAGUAUAAAAUUGUAAUUUCUCAUGGAAUUUUCAUUCACGCAUACGCGACAGUUCGUGAGCAGACGAACGAGUAAGAGGCUUGCAGUAUAGCUGCAUCCAGUCAGAUACUAGUAGAACUCGAAACAUUGUUUUGACAAGUACUCUCAUAUUUCGGUUGCAGGUUUUCAUUAAAUACCAAGAGGAAAAACUAGAUGGCGUUGACGUGCGUCUAUGAUAAAUAUUACGAGUGACAAGUUAAAUUGGUGUUUGUUACGUCUCUACCUUGUUCAGUGUUUCAAAGGGUUUUUCAUCAAAUAUUAAUGGGUUUCGCCUUGUCAGCUGCUGAACCUUAGCCUGCAUUCCUGCUAUCAUCAAUGUUGUCAAUAUUUUAAGCCCGACUAAGCUAGGGGCACUCACCCCGUUCGCUUCCGGACAUUCCUCCUUCAUGCGAAGCUACGGGUUGAGCGCCCUUAAAACUAAGUUGGAUAAAACAAAAAAGUAAAGUACGACCACUACCAGCAGCCUUACAGUGUGCUUCAUAAAUAAGUCAACCCCUGAGAUAACAAUAUCAUUGGAAAUUGUGGUUUUGUUCUCCACUUUUAUUAUCCAUAUGCAAUUUUCGUGCUACUUUAUUACCUUCAUGGUGUGAUAUUUUAUCAUCCUGGAAGAAGGAUUCUGGAAAUUGAUGAUUUCUAAUAUACAGCUGGUUUUCAGAUAACAAGUUUAAUGUAUUUACAUAUCAGAAUGAGCUCCCAAUUUGAAGUUGUGAGUGUCUUAUCUGAUUAUAGAUUUCUACUUUGAAAACCAAACUAUUUCCUUCUACAAAUGGAUUUUGAAGUAUCAUGCAUGUGGUAUUAUGUACUCUAUGAUAUCUUUGCAAAGCCUUUAAUUGAUGUUAUACCAAAAAAAUUCCCAUGGAAGGAAGUUCUUGCAGGAUCUGUUAUCAACCGUCUAUGUUAUGCAGUAAUUGUAUCUGCAGUUUAGUUAAAACUCUAACUUAGAAAUAUACUCAGCGUAAAAUUGAUAUGAUGAAAAAUGAUAUUUGAUUGGAAGAAGUUCCUGGCUGAGACAAGAGAU
rnacentral:lncRNA from 1 species